rnacentral:tRNA from 1 species
GUCCGGUUCGUCUAGGGGUUAGGACACCGCCCUUUCACGGCGGCAACACGGGUUCAAAUCCCGUACCGGAUA